rnacentral:lncRNA from 1 species
CUUUAAGAACUAUUUAUUCUCUUUCAUGACAUUUUCAGGAGCAAGGUGGGUUGCUUAAGACCUUCAGCUUGGGUCUCAUUGGAGACCCUCUUAUAACAAUCUGUUAAGUCAGUUAUGAAUCUGCAUUUUAUACUUUAAAAUCCUUUCUCAUUAUGGAAUGAAGAGAGUUGCCUUCUAUUUAGAAAAUAUGGAGCAACUGGGAAACAUUAGAAGAUUUGGCAUUGGGGACCCUUCUUCUGGCCUCUGAAAUCUCACUGGCCCAGUAAUUUUCAUUUUCUUGUGUUUAAAAUGCUUUUUCACUAUUAGAAUUCUAGUAACAAUAUACAAUAACUGCUGAAGACAGUUACUCCAACGAGCUCGUUUUGUUCAGUGUUGCUGGCUCUGUUAACUGCCUUUCCCUUGGCUCCAAGUUCAAGUGUGAGAAAAACUUCUUACCAUCUUACAAUCCCCUAUUAAGCAGUGAGGAAUAUGUGACAUUUCUUUGAACAUUACACUCUGUUUCUUCUACCCUGGGGGGAGUCACACGGUGAGCUCAGAGUUGACCUGGUAGUCCAUGUGGUUAAUAGUAUGACGGCACAGUGGGACCUAAGUAUUGUGUACUCUCCAGUGUGUGCCUCUGAUGGGAAGAGCAGGAUGGUAAACACCACUGCACCACUGCCUGACCCUAAAACUGGUCCAGCAGGCACAGGGGCUCUGCAGUUAUCCACAGAGCAAAGGUGCACCUGGACCGAAUGCCUACAACCAAAACCACUGCUUGCCUUACCAUGGAAGGGAGAAAUGGAAAACAGGAGGAAGUGGCUUUACGAAGAGAGACCAAGCUUUUGUGUUUGCCUCCUUUGCCCAGUAAGAAAGCAGAGACGACAGGGCAGGGUGCCACACUUGGCCACAGUUGGAGCACCUUUCUCCUUCCGCACUGUGUAUAGCCUUUCACUGGCUUAAAGGGCAUGUGCAUGGCCUCACUUAGCCCAAAGCACAUCUGUUUCUACAAAUAUGUUAACAGUGCUUUGCCUCUUGCUGUUGUUUGCUGACAGAGUCUCACUAUGUGUCAUAAGCUUGCUUGGAACUCAAGAUCUUCCUGCCUAAUCCUGCAGCAUGCUAGAAUAACAAGUAUAUGCCACUCUACC